AUUGAACGCUGGCGGCAGGCCUAACACAUGCAAGUCGAACGGGAUCUGAGGGUAGCUUGCUACCCGAUUUGAGAGUGGCGCACGGGUGCGUAACGCGUGAGCAACCUACCCAUAUCAGGGGGAUAGCCCGAAGAAAUUCGGAUUAACACCGCAUAACAAUACGUUAACACAUGUUAAUGUAUUUAAAUAUUUAUAGGAUAUGGAUGGGCUCGCGUGACAUUAGCUAGUUGGUAAGGUAACGGCUUACCAAGGCGACGAUGUCUAGGGGCUCUGAGAGGAGAAACCCCCACACUGGUACUGAGACACGGACCAGACUCCUACGGGAGGCAGCAGUAAGGAAUAUUGGUCAAUGGGCGCAAGCCUGAACCAGCCAUGCCGCGUGCAGGAUGACUGCCCUAUGGGUUGUAAACUGCUUUUGUUAGGGAAUAAACCUACUUAUGUAUAAGUAGCUGAAUGUACCUAAAGAAUAAGGAUCGGCUAACUCCGUGCCAGCAGCCGCCGUAA
rnacentral:rRNA from 1 species